rnacentral:rRNA from 1 species
UACGAAGGGGGCUAGCGUUGCUCGGAAUUACUGGGCGUAAAGGGCGCGUAGGCGGACAUUUAAGUUAGAGGUGAAAGCCCAGGGCUCAACCCUGGAAUAGCCUUUAAUACUGGAUGUCUUGAGUUCGGGAGAGGUGAGUGGAAUGCCGAGUGUAGAGGUGAAAUUCGUAGAUAUUCGGCGGAACACCAGUGGCGAAGGCGACUCACUGGCCCGAUACUGACGCUGAGGCGCGAAAGUGUGGGGAGCGAACAGG